AAUAUUGGUCGAUGGAGGCAACUCUGAACCAGCCAUGCCGCGUGCAGGAAGACGGCCCUACGGGUUGUAAACUGCUUUUAUACGGGAAUAAACCUCUCUACGUGUAGAGCGCUGAAUGUACUGUAAGAAUAAGGACAGGCUAACUCCGUGCCAGCAGCCGCGGUAAUACGGAGGAUCCAAGCGUUAUCCGGAUUUAUUGGGUUUAAAGGGUGCGUAGGCGGCCUAUUAAGUCAGGGGUGAAAGACGGUAGCUCAACUAUCGCAGUGCCUUUGAUACUGAUGGGCUUGAUUACACUUGAGGUAGGCGGAAUGUGACAAGUAGCGGUGAAAUGCAUAGAUAUGUCACAGAACACCGAUUGCGAAGGCAGCUUACUAAGGUGUCAAUGACGCUGAGGCACGAAAGCGUGGGGAUCAAACAGG
rnacentral:rRNA from 1 species